GGGGGCGUGGGAAGAGCCGAAAUGUCUGGGUGGAACGCGGAGAUCAGAAUUAAGGAUCCACAUCUGUAAAGAUAGGGGAGUGGAAGGAGGGAGCAGGGUUAGGCGGAGGAAGAAACUGAACUGCUCUACUGACCUGCCCAAGUCUUGGCCAACCUGGAGUUACUCUGGAAUAUUGCAUAGGUUGCAGCUGGCUACCAUUUUUAACGGAAUGGAUUUACUGUGGAAUACAAAGGGGUCUCAGCGGUGCAAGGAGUAACUGUAUCAGAGCCUACGGUGUCCUAUAUCACUUCACCUUAGCUUACCUCUGAUUUUAGCCAUUACCACAGCUGACAGUUCUUUGUGAUUACAAACUCAUUUUGUGCUGACAGCAUCCCCCCUCAAGCAGGAGUCUGUUUGCAUGGUCACAUAAUGUGUCAGUUUCUGAUAUUUAAUCUCUACCAGAACCCAGGGGCAAGUUAAGAUCUGCUUUUCAAAUGGAGGACAGCCAGCAGAAAAGGGUAUAGUUUUGCUUCAAUCCCCUAAGGGUCUGCACUGUGAUUAUCUUAUCUGGGUUUUGGCAGAGGCUCUCCCUAUUGCUACAGACACUUCCCACACCAUUGGGUCCGCUGGGUCUCAAGCCCUAGCUUAAACAAUUUACGCCUGCUGCCAAGGCUUUCCUGGCCCCAGGCCCCACUCAAAACUAGCAAUCCUGCGGACUACUUGGUAAAUGGGUUGGAGCAACAUGCUCCCGGGUAGUACCUAUGUUGCCUCCAAAAUCCAAACAGGCUUAUCAUCAAGCUCUGUGCCUCUGUAGCCAGGGUGGUCAAUUCAAGAUGAAGCAACCUGCUUCUCAUUUUAAUAGCUAUAUUUCAACAUGCCCCAGGCAACUGGACCCCUAGAAACUUCAUCCACGUGUCAGGUCCCUGAAUUUUCAUUGAGUUGACCUCCCGUCCUCUGAAAGGCACCUGUUCUACCAAGUAUCUGGAAUGCUUACUACUUCCUGCUCAGCAGGCCCAGUUAGCAUAAUAUCAUCAAUGUAAUGGACCAGCAUGAUUAACUGUGGGUUAUCAAGAUGACAGAGGCCUCCUCUGGCUAUAUUUAUUCCAGAAAGCCAGAGGCUGACACAGCCAUGAGAAAAAGUGAAAUAAUACAGCUGUCAUGCCACCUUGGAGACAGAUUGCUUUGGGGCUGAAAAGAGCUAGAUAGGUUUGCUAAAAUAAAGAUACCACAUCCAGGUUGCAGCUGUAAUUGGAUUCGCUAGCUGAUUACGUAUACAAUAAUCCAUAGUCACUCUCCAGAAUCCAUCAAGCUUUUGCAUCUGCCAAAAGGACAAAUUAGACGGGAUUGUGGUAGGAAUAACUACUCUAUCUUUCAAGCUCUAAUCCUUGCAAUUUCCUCAGGAAUGCAUUACUAUAACAAUGCCAGGGAGGAAGGUGGUUUUGUUUCCUCAAUAGGUGGAAUCCAUAGCUCUGGGCAACUACAAGGUGGUUGCAGUAGGAUUGUCCCUGAUCACUAUUAUUCCUAAUGACCCACACCCACUCGUAGAAUUCAUGUUUCCUGUUCCGUUAUCGUAGGCUCCUACAAGUUCCUAUUCCUGCCUGCGUGUAUGUGUGCGUGCUUCUACCGGGUAACUGGAGGCUACGACUGUGGUUUGCUCACUAUGGGCUCCACGCGCCAACGGACCAACAGACAAAGAUAUUUCUAUAGUGCCAGGGGUAGUCGACCCUGAUUCACAUGAAUAGCAAGGAUUGCUACUUCACAAUGGAUAAAGGAGCAUGUCUGCAAUUCAAGGGAAUCACGGGGGCAAGUCCGGCUGUGUCUCUGCCCAGUGGUAAUGAUGUGGGAGAGCUAGGUUCUUGUCUCAUGGGAGAGGAGUCUCGUGGAUGAAGGAGAGUGAGUAAAUCCUUGUAUUAAGCAAGGAUACAGAAAAAGCUUUCAGGAGUGAUGGGGUCCCAACAGGGUUGCCACCAAGGGCUUUUAGGGAUGGUCUUUUAUAGAAAGCUAACCAGGGAAUUUAAAUCUUUCCCACAUCUCUAUUGAUAACACCAUUGAGUAAGGACUAGUGGUAACACCUUCAAUGGCUUACUUCCCUUUUAGGGUCCAGUAAUUCUUGGUUGGUCACAAGUAGCUGUUAAAACGAAACCUCGCCUCUGACACCUAGGGCAGGGUGGUCUGUUUUGUUCCCUUAUCUCUGGUUUCAUCUCCCACAUUUUGAAUUUUGGGAGCCUGAUCCCAUGGCCCCCUACGUCUCUCUCCCUGCCCAGCCCCACCUGUCCCUUACUCAGUAACUCUGAAUGGGCAAUUGCCACCAUCGCCUGGCAAGAGCAAGGUGAGGGGGCUGAAGGUCUGGCUCAUCCCACCAGGCAAGUAACCCAGACCAGCAAAAGUGCUGGUUGAGAGUGAGGGAAACCUAGAAUGGUUGUUAGAGCAGGAAGAUGAGUAUCAAUUAUGGCCCUGGGACCAGCUGUAAUAAAGGGAUUUAAGUUGGUCUUAUAGUCCCUUUUUAAAGAGAUGCAAGGGGCCAUCAGUUUGAAGAAUUAGAUUUACACUUCUCUCUUGGGGAAAAAGUGACAGCAUUAUUUUUCCCCACACGAGAUCCAGAUAUAAAUGGGUAAGAACAGAUCUAAGUGGCAUAAUGGAUGGUACAAGAGCCAGUUUAUUUCACCCCAGAUGUCCUCAGCCUGACUUGCCCAGUCCUCGCCCCAGGACCUAAGCCACUUGCCGUAUUUUCUGGCCAGACUGGCCGUAGGGAUGGCCUAUUCCAUUCCAGUAGUCACAGCCCUGACCACUGUAUCUCCCAGCUCUGGUUGUCUUAGGCUCCCCGUGGGGUUCAGGAGCAGGUGUCAGCACAACUUCUGUCACGUCCACUGCCAUGGGAGCCACAGCAGCUCCUGCACCAGGUCUGACCCAACUGGACCCUUGGGUGCUCUGGCUCCCCACUCACUUCCCAGAGGGGUCAAAUACGCAACCUGCAGAUGGGAAGGAAUUACUGUCCCAUGCGGAGGAUUCUGGCCAAUGAGGGAAGGCACCCACAGAUAAAUGCCACCCCCCCCCGAUUGUUUU